rnacentral:lncRNA from 1 species
UGACAUUCUUUAUGAUAGUCACAUUAGCAGCUAAUUAGAAUUUAAUUUUUUUGGGGGGGGGGGGGGUAUGCGAAUAUAUUGAUAAACAUCACCUUGUCCUGGAGAGAUUUACAUGGUUAUCAAAACAUCACGCCAGGUGCAACUCUACCAGUUUCUGAUUUUUAGGAGGGGUUGAAUUUCAUGCCAGUUCAGCAUGAAUAAUCUAAGACAAUAUGAGUCUCCAGCUGAGAGUGAUCACAUGCGCAGUUCGGCACGAGACAACCGUUGGACCCGAUGACGUGUGUCUGCGCAUGAGCUUAGAUAGCCAACGUCGCCAUGACAUCGCCUACGAGCGUGAUCGGGGAUUUCUAUUGGAGAAGCAUGUUCUGCCUAUCUCCAUUCUGUUGGCACUGGACUGUGAAGGUGUCGUUACUGGAGCUGCAAUGACAACAAUGUAGAUGCAUAUUUGAGAUGCAAAUGAAUAAUGAAAAUGUGAUGAUAGAGCACAGAUCUGUCUGUGUGUGUGUGUGUCUAAAUGAGGACUAAUUGUUGAUUUGAGUAUUCAGCCAGGACUCACGAACAACUGUCAACAACACUGAAUCAUAAUCAGGGCUGGAUGACUCCUUAAAUAACUCUCAUCAAAGUCACAUUGACUGUAAUGAAGCAUCAACAUUAGGGAUAAACCAUUGGGAACAGACAGCUAGACCUUGUCCAAUGCAACAACAAAAAGCUGGCAUCCUGCAAAACAUGUAGGCUAUUGUAUGUGACUGUAGGAAAAACGCAUACGAGUUUAGGUCUAGAGUGACAUCCUUUGUAGCUAUUAUUCAUUGAAAAUAUUUUGCUGUCAACUUUCAUUUCAUCAAGAGUUGUAGGUAGAUUUCGAUGGCUAACCCAUUUGUACAAGUCCUGUUGGAAAAUGUAUGUGGGUUUUAACCCACAAGAUCGAUUGCUUUCAGAUACAAAAUGUGUAUGUUUCACAGCUUACAGCCAGGCCAAUGUACUACUCCUCCAGCCCUACUCAUAGUGCUGCGUCUUGUGGACUGGCGACGUGUGUAUGUUUCUGCAGGUGAGAACAAGGUAAAGGACGAGGCUUGUAAAAUCAC